CCUGGCGGCCKUAGCGCGGUGGUCCCACCUGACCCCAUGCCGAACUCAGAAGUGAAACGCCGUAGCGCCGAUGGUAGUGUGGGGUCUCCCCAUGCGAGAGUAGGUAACUGCCAGGC
rnacentral:rRNA from 1 species